AGAGCGAACGCUGGCGGCAGGCUUAACACAUGCAAGUCGAGCGGGCGUAGCAAUACGUCAGCGGCAGACGGGUGAGUAACGCGUGGGAACGUACCUUUUGGUUCGGAACAACCCAGGGAAACUUGGGCUAAUACCGGAUAAGCCCUUACGGGGAAAGAUUUAUCGCCGAAAGAUCGGCCCGCGUCUGAUUAGCUAGUUGGUGAGGUAAUGGCUCACCAAGGCGACGAUCAGUAGCUGGUCUGAGAGGAUGAUCAGCCACAUUGGGACUGAGACACGGCCCAAACUCCUACGGGAGGCAGCAGUGGGGAAUAUGGACAAUGGGCGCAAGCCUGAUCCAGCCAUGCCGCGUGAGUGAUGAAGGCCCUAGGGUUGUAAAGCUUCUUUGUGCGGGAAGAUAAUGACGGUACCGCAAGAAUAAGCCCCGGCUAACUUCGCGCCAGCAGCCGC
rnacentral:rRNA from 1 species